CAACGACGUUUUAAAAAAAUGCCACGUUUUACUCCACAUAACAGAUCCCUCCGUGUUUCAGUGGUUCACUUAAAAAAAAAAAAAAAACAAACAAACAAACAAAUGGGUCACCGUUAGAACUCUCAUACUCCGUUAUCUCUCAUCAUGCUCAGAUCUCACUCUCAAAGAUCUCACUCUGUCACACAUCGCUAUUCUCUCUCGCGAUCGAACUUUCGAGGUCUUCGCUGUUCGCUAUUCUUCAUCAAUCACUAUUUUUCAUCAAUCGCGUUAUAUCGUCGAUCUCACAUAGAUCUCACUCUCUUCGCUGUUCUUCAUCAAUCGCGUCGAUCUCUGGAUGUACUUCUCUGCUAGGCGAUUGACGAUUAUUGCCCAUAAAGUACAUCUCUGGAGUACUCCUAUGGGAAAAAAUAGAUGUUCUUCAUCAAUCGCGUCGAUCUCGAAGCUAAUUGAACUCCAACUCGAUCUCUCUCGCUAUUAGCUCCCAUCUUGAGUUCGCAAAUCGCAAAUCCAAAAUCGAUAUCAUGUUGUCAAAGAUAAGUGUACUGGCAAAACCAAGGGCUAUGGAUUUGUUAGUUUUGCCAACCCUUUAGAUCUUGCAGCAGCACUAAAAGAAAUGAAUGGAAACUGGAAAUAUUGACAUCGAAGGCGUUGACUCAACCAAUGCUUGCUCUGGUGGAACUGCAGCUUUAUUCAACUGUGUCAACUGGGUGGAGAGUCGUUCAUGGGAUGGACGCUAUGGAUUUGUGGUCUACACAGACAGUGCGGGCCUGAUGCUCCUAUAGCAUUUGAAAGCAAAUUUAGGGGAAACCAUAUGUCGCAUGCCUAUGAUUUUUACAAGCCCAACCGUGCAAGUGAAUAUCCGCUUGUUCAAAAGAGCUUUGCCUGGUUGUGGUUCAAUGACUUCUUGAGGAAUGUCGUGAUUCGAUGACUUCUUGAGGAAUGCCAUGAUCUAGAGAUUGCUUUCACCAUGUCUCUCUUAAAACUAAUUGGUGCUAGAGAGGGUUUUAGCUUUAGUUUUAAGAUUAUGUGAGGUCGACCUAUCAGUGUCUCUUGAGCUUUUGAAGCUGUUAUGAAAAUUUCUCCAAGUAUCUAAUCCCAUUUGUUCCCCUAGCUAUGGUCUCUUAGUGUCAGUCGGCCUUUAGAAUGCCUUUGCUAAGGCUAAAUAUGUUUUAUUCAUGUUAUUUGUUCUUGUCAAAUGUUGGUUCAAAUAUCAAAGAAAGGAAAGAAAAAGAAGAAGUAGAUAGGACAAACUCAAUGAAAGAGGCCUUUUUUUGUUGUAAGUUUUAUUCUUAAAAUUAAAGUUGUUGAGGUGGAAUAAUAUUGUAUUUCAUCAUCUCUACUGUGGUUAAUUUCUAAGAAGUGUUAAUUUUGUUACAAUUU